UACGUAGGGUGCGAGCGUUGUCCGGAAUUAUUGGGCGUAAAGAGCUCGUAGGCGGUCUGUCGCGUCGAUCGUGAAAACUUGGGGCUUAACCCUGAGCUUGCGGUCGAUACGGGCAUGACUGGAGUUCGGCAGGGGAGACUGGGAUUCCUGGUGUAGCGGUGAAAUGCGCAGAUAUCAGGAGGAACACCGGUGGCGAAGGCGGGUCUCUGGGCCGAUACUGACGCUGAGGAGCGAAAGCGUGGGGAGCGAACAGG
rnacentral:rRNA from 1 species